rnacentral:rRNA from 1 species
UACGUAGGUGGCAAGCGUUGUCCGGAUUUACUGGGCGUAAAGGAUGCGUAGGUGGAUAUUUAAGUGGGAUGUGAAAUACCCGAGCUCAACUUGGGUGCUGCAUUCCAAACUGAAUAUCUAGAGUGCAGGAGAGGUAAGUGGAAUUCCUAGUGUAGCGGUGAAAUGCGUAGAGAUUAGGAAGAACACCAGUGGCGAAGGCGACUUACUGGACUGUAACUGACACUGAGGCAUGAAAGCGUGGGGAGCAAACAGG